rnacentral:rRNA from 1 species
UACGAAGGGGGCUAGCGUUGCUCGGAAUCACUGGGCGUAAAGGGCGCGUAGGCGGAUCUUUAAGUCGGGGGUGAAAGCCCAGGGCUCAACCCUGGAAUUGCCUUCGAUACUGGAGAUCUUGAGACCGGAAGAGGUAAGUGGAACUGCGAGUGUAGAGGUGAAAUUCGUAGAUAUUCGCAAGAACACCAGUGGCGAAGGCGGCUUACUGGUCCGGUUCUGACGCUGAGGCGCGGAAAGCGUGGGGAGCAAACAGG